GUUGGGAUAUUGCCAUUUAGUGGCAAUACCCCACCACUAAUUGUGGCUUAGUGGAAGCAUCACUAAUGCCACAAUUAGUGGCAUGAUUUCGGGACCUAUUGUCCCCUUGCUAUUGCUGGAGAAAGUUGCCAAGAAUUGCCUAUAAAAUAGGCAUGUUUUGAGAGAGGGGAUAGAGAGAAAACGUGAGUGUGUGCAAGAGAGUGAAGAGAGAAAGAGAGAGCUGCAAUGGCUGCUGCCAUUGCAGCAGCUGUAAGAGCACCAAAGUGAGCUGGGAGUUGAGUGAUCCUCCUCCAUGUAUUUGUUGUAAUCCUUUCUCUAUAUAUCUCUAAUAAUAUGGACUCUCCCGUGGAUGUAGGCGGUUUUGCCGAACCACGUUAAAUAUUGUGUCAGUGUGCUUUACCCUCCUAUGAGCAAAUAUCAGUACACCCCCGGUCCGCGCAUGGGGUGCCGGAAUUUCCCAACAAUUGGUAUCAGAGCACAUGGUUUAAAGGGGUGUUUGAUUUUUGCUCAAAAAUGAAAGUUGUCAAAAUUGUGUUUUGACCAUACCACUGUGUAGAGGAGGCCGAGACGAAGCCACUGGUGAAAACGACGUCAAAAUCGAAUGUCGGACAUGGCCGCACUCUCCAUCACUCUCCGGCAGGGCGUCUGCCCACGCGCGCAGACGCGCCCCACGCGUCUUCUUCGCCCGGAUGAGUUGACCCGACCCGACCCGAAUACCAGUUGACCCGACCCAUGUGACUGACCCGGAUAUGAAUGGCAUCAGCAUGACGUAAAAGUGACGUCAGCGUGAAUAGUAGACAUGCCAGGGAUGACAUUAGCAUGAUGUAAUUGUGACAUCAUCAUGUACAGUAGCAUGGCCCAUAAUGACAUCAGCAUGAUGUAAUGGAGAUGUCAGCAUGUACAGUCAUCAUGACAUGCCAGCGUCCAGUCAGCAGACACGUCAUCACAGUUGGACCCACCUGCCACGUCAUCAGCCGCGAGCCUAGCCGAGCCGAGUUGAGCCGAGCCGAGCCUCGAGCCGAGAGAUAAGAUUCUGUGCAGCAGAGUCUACGUGCAACCGGAUUUGAGAUUGAAUCUGGGCCGCUCAUUAGGCCAGAAUUGUUUUGAUCAAAUCUUAGCUGUCUGAAAUGCGAUUUGGACGAUUUCAGACUUGUUUCCAGCUAAUUUGAUCAUUCCGGAUGCAAUGGUACGGUCCGAUCGUUGAGAUUUGAGACCAAAAAUAGCGGUGGUGAAUUAACAAAAGAGAUUGCCCGAUCAGGAGGCAUCUGAAGGUCAUCAUGGUGGUCGAUGGAGAUGAAGAAGAAGAAGGUGCACAUGUUUACCCAAUUACAUGUGUUGAACUGCUAAGUGGAGAGAAUUUUAAUUGCUUUGAAGGAAGGCAAAAUUGGGACACUCUGGACACCCGAUUAUGUGGACAAUUUGAGGUGUAGAGUGGAAACUGAUGAAGACCAAUUUUGACGAAUCUAAGCACUGGUAGUCUCGCCAGAUGUUGAGAAAUGAUGUAUUAAACCAGUAUAUUCCAGAUCACUUGUAAAGGAAAGCCGCAACAAAGCUAGCAAAUGGUUGUAUAUACGGAAAGACAGUACGAUGGAUAGAUAUGGCCUAAGAAGUUCUGUCUAGGAGAUUGGGUUUUAAGCGGGACCAGUGUGACCCCUCCAAUCUUUCCUGGGAACUUGCUUAGUGGAAGGAUUAUCCACACGGUACUAUUUUCGUAUAUAUAGCAGUUUGUAAUGAAACGGUUGAAGACUAGCAGGAUGACGGCACAAGGGAACAGUUGGGUUCCGUAUGAUCAAGGAUCUGAUGAAGUGGUGAUUUCUCCAAAGAAGUUAGAUUCGGUGACUGUGAUUUCUCGAGGGAAGAAUUGAUGAAGACCCUGAUAAUGAAAGAGGAAUACAGUAAGGGGAUAAAGAUUGGCACCCUAUUUUGACUUGGACAGGUGUUGUGACAGGAUGAGCUGCUGUCAAACAUAAGCAAGGAAUAGGGAGAAAUCUGGAGAACAGAAAUUGCACGAGGGCACACAGAUAUUGUGCAGGAGUACCCGUAGGAUCCAACGAGGUACUGUAAUGAGACAACAGGUGCAAGGAGAAGAAGUGUUCCCAGAUGAAGCUCAGAGCAGAGACUGUUAAAGUUUGUACAACAGGAAGUCUCUUAUGCUCUUGAUGAAAACAACAUGUGAAGACCUUUCCAAUACAUGCAAGGAUGGAAAGAGAGCUGUUGCAGAGGCACCUAAUUGAGGGGGUGCAAACGCCUGUGAUAAAAGGCGACCGCCUAUGAUGAAAGGCGAAGACACCAAAGAGAGUUGGUGUAGGUGGAGUUGUCAAGCAGAAAGGCGUAGAAGCUCCAAACAUAGAAAUCGAGGUGGAGGAUUGCGAGGAGUAUACCGCAACUUUCUCUUUCUAUGUAGUCAGUGGCAGUAAUCUCUCCCAUAGUGCACAUGGUGGUAGAGAAUCUUAAAGCCACUUUGAUGCAUCCCAGCUGAAGGAGGAUGCGGCCACCUAUGAAAGGUGAAGACACCUUAGAUGGAAGGUGUGUGAGGGCCAUGAUAAGAGCCCGGAUCAGACCGCCCCAUGACAACGGGCGAAGACACCUUAGAGAAGGUGUGAGGGCCGUGAUAGAAGCCCCAGUUCAGACCGCCGUAUGGUUACGAGCGGAGACACCUAAGGAGAAGGUGUGUGGGCCACGAUAUGAGCCCAGUUCAGAACGCCCCAAAGCCGAUGUGAUGGCUAGAUACAAGUGGACAGGUGUAUGGAUAGCCAAUGAAGUGGCUAUGAUGAGUAUGGAGACAAAUGCAGGAUUGACUUUCAUGGAUAUUGCCCCCAUGCUAAAGAUCAAUGAGCUAGAAGACAUUUGCCUUGGACAAUAAGUGGGUGACUUGUGGAGCAUUAAGACGCGGCUGCUAUGAAGAAGCAGAGGGCAUGCGCAGGUUCCGGGAACGAGUUGACUCUUGUCAAGGUGGUGAGCUCGGUAAUGGCAUUGUAAUACUCAGAGUAUGAAGACAGAUAUGGAUCAACCUUUAUGGGCUGCCCCCAUGGUUAAAGGUGGAGAGCUACCUGGACUCUUACGACUAAGAGCGAGAGACUCACGGAGAAGUAAGGCGUGGUUCCUAGGGUGGAACAGAGGGCAGGCGCAACUCCUGGAUGAGUAGACUCUUGGAAGAGUGGUGAGCUUGUGAUCACAUUGAAAUACUCAAUGACCGUCGCACUUGGGAAUAUUCGUUUGAGGGGGUGUUGCAAGCCUUGGUGUAAGGCUUGAAAAAUCAUUCCGGACCGAGCAUGGUUGAUACGCUCGAAGGGGAAUGUUGUGUUGAAGACGCUCUCAGAAUGGUAAGCUUGGAAGAGCUGCAAAAUGCAAGCUUGUGCUGAAGAAGCAAAAGGACAAUUGCCCACACAAAUGGCAAAGGGGGUGAUUGUUGGGAUAUUGCCAUUUAGUGGCAAUACCCCACCACUAAUUGUGGCUUAGUGGAAGCAUCACUAAUGCCACAAUUAGUGGCAUGAUUUCGGGACCUAUUGUCCCCUUGCUAUUGCUGGAGAAAGUUGCCAAGAAUUGCCUAUAAAAUAGGCAUGUUUUGAGAGAGGGGAUAGAGAGAAAACGUGAGUGUGUGCAAGAGAGUGAAGAGAGAAAGAGAGAGCUGCAAUGGCUGCUGCCAUUGCAGCAGCUGUAAGAGCACCAAAGUGAGCUGGGAGUUGAGUGAUCCUCCUCCAUGUAUUUGUUGUAAUCCUUUCUCUAUAUAUCUCUAAUAAUAUGGACUCUCCCGUGGAUGUAGGCGGUUUUGCCGAACCACGUUAAAUAUUGUGUCAGUGUGCUU
rnacentral:lncRNA from 1 species